UACGGGGGGAGCAAGCGUUGUUCGGAUUUACUGGGCGUAAAGGGCGCGUAGGCGGUCAGCACAAGUCAGUUGUGAAAUCUCCGAGCUUAACUCGGAAAGGUCAACUGAAACUGUGCGACUAGAGUGCGGAAGGGGCAACUGGAAUUCUUGGUGUAGCGGUGAAAUGCGUAGAUAUCAAGAGGAACACCUGCGGCGAAGGCGGGUUACUGGGCCGACACUGACGCUGAAGCGCGAAAGCCAGGGGAGCGAACGGG
rnacentral:rRNA from 1 species